rnacentral:rRNA from 1 species
CUCUCUGAUUCAGCGGCGGACGGGUGAGUAAUGCCAAGGAAUCUGCCUGGUAGUGGGGGACAACGUCUCGAAAGGGACGCUAAUACCGCAUACGUCCUACGGGAGAAAGCAGGGGACCUUCGGGCCUUGCGCUAUCAGAUGAGCCUAGGUCGGAUUAGCUAGUUGGUGAGGUAAUGGCUCACCAAGGCGACGAUCCGUAACUGGUCUGAGAGGAUGAUCAGUCACACUGGAACUGAGACACGGUCCAGACUCCUACGGGAGGCAGCAGUGGGGAAUAUUGGACAAUGGGCGAAAGCCUGAUCCAGCCAUGCCGCGUGUGUGAAGAAGGUCUUCGGAUUGUAAGCACUUUAGGUUGGGAGGAAGGGCAGUAAGCGAAUACCUUGCUGUUUUGACGUUACCGACAGAAUAAGCACCGGCUAACUCUGUGCCAGCAGCCGCGGUAAUACAGAGGGUGCAAGCGUUAAUCGGAAUUACUGGGCGUAAAGCGCGCGUAGGUGGUUUGUUAAGUUGAAUGUGAAAUCCCCGGGCUCAACCUGGGAACUGCAUCCAAAACUGGCAAGCUAGAGUAGGGCAGAGGGUGGUGGAAUUUCCUGUGUAGCGGUGAAAUGCGUAGAUAUAGGAAGGAACACCAGUGGCGAAGGCGACCACCUG